rnacentral:rRNA from 1 species
UGGGGAAUAUUGCACAAUGGGGGAAACCCUGAUGCAGCGACGCCGCGUGAGCGAAGAAGGUUUUCGAAUCGUAAAGAUCUGUCCUAUGGGAAGAUAAUGACGGUACCAUAGGAGGAAGCCCCGGCUAACUACGUGCCAGCAGCCGCGGUAAUACGUAGGGGGCAAGCGUUGUCCGGAAUCACUGGGCGUAAAGGGUUCGCAGGCGGAAAUGCAAGUCAGUUGUGAAAGGCAGAGGCUCAACCUCUGUAAGCAAUUGAAACUGUAUUUCUUGAGAUGUGGGGAGGGAAGUGGAAUUCCUAGUGUGGCGGUGAAAUGCGUAGAUAUUAGGAAGAAUACCGGUGGCGAAGGCGCCUUGCUGGACACAAGCUGACGCUGUGGAACGAAAGCGUGGGUAGCAAGCAGG